rnacentral:antisense_RNA from 1 species
CGUUAUGGCGACUGUGCGUGGGGCGCUUUCGAGCGCGCCGGGUUCCUAUGACCGGUCCGUCAACCUGCGCACAGUUGCCACCCAU